UAUAAAAAUAUUAAGAUGCAAGCUUAGAGAUUAUAAAACUUAAAUAAAUAAUUUUAAG
rnacentral:tRNA from 1 species